rnacentral:rRNA from 1 species
GACGAACGCUGGCGGCGUGCCUAAUACAUGCAAGUCGAACGGCGUGUCGAACGGGUGAGUAAUGUCUCGGAACGUGCCCAGUAGCGGGGGAUAACUCCGCGAAAGCGUAGCUUAUACCGCAUACUAUUGGAGCGGCCGCUGUCGGAUUAGCUAGUUGGUGGGGUAACGGCUCACCAAGUCGACGAUGCGUAGCUGGUCUGAGAGGGCGACCAGCCACACUGGGACUGAGACACGGCCCAGACUCCUACGGGAGGCAGCAGUGGGGAAUUUUGGACAAUGGGGGAAACCCUGACCCAGCCAUCCCGCGUGUGCGAUGAAGGCCUUCGGGUUGUAAAACACUGUUGGUAGGAAAGCGGUACCUGCAGAAUAAGCACCGGCUAACUACGUGCCAGCAGCCGCGGUAAUAC